GGGGGUCUAGCUCAGAUGGUAGAGCGCUCGCUUAGCAAUGUGCGAGAGGUACUGAGAUCGAUACUCAGGUCCUCC
rnacentral:tRNA from 1 species